rnacentral:lncRNA from 1 species
UUAUGGAAACAUGUUAUUGAAAGAAUGUUUUUACAUUCUUAAGUAUUUAAUACCAAAAAUUUUAUAUCGAAUACAUUUUAUUAAGAUAAAAUUGUCAAAAAAUUGAAUAUGUUUUUUUCGAACCACAUGUCACAUUAAUCAUACUUCUUUGUGUCGGAUGUUGCUUUAUAUUCAAGUCCUUCAAGUUCUUCAGGUAAAUAGUAAAAUUACUCACUGCACUAAAUCCAAAUAACCUUAUUCAAAGAAGCUG